rnacentral:misc_RNA from 1 species
AACGCACAUUGCGCCCGCCAGUACUCUGGCGGGCAUGCCUGUUCGAGCGUCAUUUCAACCCUCGGGACCCCCCUCCGGGGCGGGACCCGGCGCUGGGGAUCGGAGGCCGCACCGGCCCCCGUCCCCCAAAUACAGUGGCGGUCGCGCCGCAGCCUCCCCUGCGUAGUAGCACACCUCGCACCGGAGAGCGGCUCGGCCACGCCGUGAAACACCCCACUUUACCAAGGUUGACCUCGGAUCAGGUAGGAAUACCCGCUGAACUUAA